CAGCAGCCGCGGUAAUACGUAGGGGGCAAGCGUUGUCCGGAAUUAUUGGGCGUAAAGCGCGCGCAGGCGGUCAUGUAAGUCUGGUGUUUAAUCCCGGGGCUCAACCCCGGAUCGCACUGGAAACUGGGUGACUUGAGUGCAGAAGAGGAGAGUGGAAUUCCACGUGUAGCGGUGAAAUGCGUAGAGAUGUGGAGGAACACCAGUGGCGAAGGCGACUCUCUGGGCUGUAACUGACGCUGAGGCGCGAAAGCGUGGGGAGCAAACAGGAUUAGAUACCCCCGUAGUCCCUGUCUCUUAUACC
rnacentral:rRNA from 1 species